rnacentral:rRNA from 1 species
GACGAACGCUGGCGGCGUGCUUAAAACAUGCAAGUCGAACGCAGUGGCGCACGGGUGAGUAACGCGUAAUCACCCUGCCCUUCAGAGGGGGACCACAGUUGGAAACGACUGCUAAUACCGCAUACUGACGGCGGGCACUGCGUCGGAUUAGUCAGUGGGGGGGGUAACGGCCCCCCAAGGCGAUGAGCAGUAGCCGGUCUGAGAGGAUGAACGGCGACAUUGGGACUGCGACACGGCCCAGACGCCUAGGUGAGGCAGCAGUGGGGAAUCUGCCGCAAUGGACGAAAGUCUGACGGAGCAACGCGGCGUGAGCGAUGACGGGCUUCGGGUGGUAAAGCUCUGUUAAGAGGGACGCGGUAACGGAAUAGAAAGCCAGGGCUAACUACGUUCCAGGCGCCGCGGUAAUUC